rnacentral:rRNA from 1 species
AGCGAACGCUGGCGGCAGGCUUAACACAUGCAAGUCGAGCGGGCACUUUCGGGUGUCAGCGGCUGACGGGUGAGUAACGCGUGGGAACGUGCCCUCUGGUUCGGAAUAACUCAGGGAAACUUGAUCUAAUACCGGAUACGCCCUUUUGGGGAAAGGCUUGCUGCCGGAGGAUCGGCCCGCGCCUGAUUAGCUAGUUGGUGAGGUAACGGCUCACCAAGGCGACGAUCUGUAGAUGGUCUGAGAGGAUGAUCAGCCACACUGGGACUGAGACACGGCCCAGACUCCUACGGGAGGCAGCAGUGGGGAAUAUUGGACAAUGGGCGCAAGCCUGAUCCAGCCAUGCCGCGUGAGUGAUGAAGGCCUUAGGGUUGUAAAGCUCUUUUAUCCGGGACGAUAAUGACGGUACCGGAGGAAUAAGCCCCGGCUAACUUCGUG